GGUGUGUUUGAGGUUCUAACCUUGGCCCGUGAUCCGGGUUGGGGACAGUGUAUGGUGGGCAGUUUGACUGGGGCGGUCUCCUCCCAAAGCGUAACGGAGGAGUUCGAAGGUACGCUAGUUACGGUCGGAAAUCGUGACGAUAGUGCAUUGGCAUAAGCGUGCUUGACUGCGAGACUGACAAGUCGAGCAGGUACGAAAGUAGGACAAAGUGAUCCGGUGGUUCUGUAU
rnacentral:rRNA from 1 species